GACGAACGCUGGCGGCGUGCUUAACACAUGCAGGUCGAGCGGUAAGGCCCUUCGGGGUACGACGAGCGGCGAACGGGUGAGUAACACGUGGGUGACCUGCCUCUAGCUCUGGGAUAAGCCUGGGAAACUGGGUCUAAUACCGGAUAUGACUCCACGGCGCAUGUUGUGGGGUGGAAAGCCUUGUGUGGCUAGAGAUGGGCCCGCGGCCUAUCAGCUUGUUGGUGGGGUGAUGGCCUACCAAGGCGACGACGGGUAGCCGGCCUGAGAGGGCGACCGGCCACACUGGGACUGAGACACGGCCCAGACUCCUACGGGAGGCAGCAGUGGGGAAUCUUGCGCAAUGGGCGAAGGCCUGACGCAGCGACGCCGCGUGAGGGAUGACGGCCUGGU
rnacentral:rRNA from 1 species